AGCGGCCGACCCUGUUCGUGGCUGCGCAUUCAAUGUAGAACCAAUAAAGACGCUAAGGGAGCCUGAGUCCGGCCAAGGCUUGCCGGAAGCCGGCAGGGCACCCACCUGGCUAUCCAGGUUCACAGCGGGCGCAGUCACGGCAGGGUGGGUCGAAA
rnacentral:other from 1 species